GUGAUUGUUCAAUAUCCACAUUAACAUUUUCAUCAAAUUAUUUUUCUUUUUACUUGAUAUUUUAUACGAAAUAUAGGAUCAAGGGAGGUGUUGCGAGGCGAUGAGAGGGGAUGAGAAUUGAGAAAUUACGAGAGAAAUCGAGAUGACGAGAGCUAAAAAGCUCUUGCUAGGAGCCGUUGGAGAGUCGGGACUCCGGAGAGGAAGAAUGACGUUUGGUUUACCCAA
rnacentral:lncRNA from 1 species